ensembl:lncRNA
GUGUGAGGUUGGAUCAGUGGUAGUGUGAUGGAACAGCCCUGUGAGUGUGAGGUUGGAUCAGUGGUAGUGUGAUGGAACAGCCCUGUGAGUGUGAGGUUGGAUCAGUGGUAGUGUGAUGGGACAGCCCUGUGAGUGUGAGGUUGGAUCAGUGGUAGUGUGAUGGGACAGCCCUGUGAGUGUGAGGUUGGAUCAGUGGUAGUGUGAUGGAACAGCCCUGUGAGUGUGAGGUUGGAUCAGUGGUAGUGUGAUGGAACAGCCCUGUGAGUGUGAGGUUGGAUCAGUGGUAGUGUGAUGGGACAGCCCUGUGAGUGUGAGGUUGGAUCAGUGGUAGUGUGAUGGAACAGCCCUGUGUGUUCCUGCUGGUCUCGUCCAUGUGACUCUCUCUUCCUCUGGGCACAGCGCAGCCCCAAAACCCCUUCUCCUUAUGUCUGGAUGAGACAGCCCUCCACCACCUGCUGGAGUAGCAUUACUAAGACCACUGUCCUUAUACACAAAACAUUAAGGAUACCAUCCUAACACCCCCUUUGCCCUCAGAACAGCCUCAAAUCGUCAGGUCAUGGACUCUACAAGGUGUUGAAAGCAUUCCACAGGGAUGCUGGCCCAUGUUGACUCCA